GAGGCCCAAGUGGCCAAGGAGUGCAGCGGCUCGUUAUCCUUCCACCGUUGGAAGCAGGCAGUUGUCGCUGCUCUGUGAAGCCAGCCUCACGCUGUGCCUGCCACAUUAUGGACCGUGAGGCCCAGCUUUCGCAUAGGCCCCAGGCGGUCCACUACGCAACUUGGAACGGGCGGGCCAGCAGUAGCACACCCAGACCAGGCCCGCAGCGCUACAACAGCGUCCACAUCACUUUCAUGCCCCCACUCGGGUUACAAGCUCUCGUAACUAAGCUCGGCGAGUGAAGAGAGUGGAGCCGGGUAUUUAAGUCGGUCGAACGCCUCCACGGUUAGCGAGGUGGGACUAAAGAAAGAGGAGUGCUGUGCUUCUGCUUUUUUUAGGGGUGUUGUGCAUCUGCUGGGAAAUGAGGUGGAGCGUUGUGGACUGAAAGAAGUUUUUGGCGUGGGCUUCUGUGGCUUCGCCGUUUGUCGUUUUGGGCUCAUGAGUCAUGAAACGUGGUCAUGUGGACAUUGGGCAGCCAUUCCGUGGUUUUGAACGAGUGCUAAUUAGCAGAAAUGAAAACAAUAUUAAAUUGCUGCAUGUUUGAAGCUGGGAGUAAGAAAUAUUUUAUUUCUAAAAUCCCAACGCAUGUCAAUGGGAUAAACAGUACAAUCUCUCUAUCCAAAAGUGACAGCUAGUAAAAAAUUCGAUGUGAAAGGUUAAUUAGUGAAGAGAGAGAUUAAAUGGCUCGCUCCAUCAUUUGCGCAACAGCAACUUCCACCUGUUCUUCUCUCCUCUGCCUUGUACACUAAUAUUCUCUUAUUGAGUUAAAUACACCACGAGUGCCUUAACUUGUCCUGUGCGGUCAGUUUGAUGCCUAAAGUUGUAAAAUACAUAAAAAUGAUACUGAAACUUGUCCGAACCUGCAAAUACGGUGCCUCCUAUCCUAUCCGGGUGUACGCCAUGCCCAUGUGGUGCGCCAGCGUGGCGAUGGCCCGCAUGUAAUUGCUUUUCUUAAUACUGGAUAUGCAUCCUUGCACACUUCAAUGACAAUAUAUUUGUUUGGUGUUACCAUAUAAAAAUUCUAUUUUUUGGUGCACCCAAAUUCUUCACAUGUUAUCGUAUUGAGGGAGACUUAGGGAAUAUGCUAGUGCAUUUGAAAAAAAAAUGUUCAACAUGUUCUUGAAAAAUGUUUCACGUACAUUAUAAAAUUGUAAUUGUGAUUUUGAAUGAUGUUUGUGAUGCAUUAAAAAAAUUGACAACAUGUACUUCAAAGAAUGAAGAUUCUUACUGCAUGUAAAGCUGCCUCAUAUUUGACGGGUGCAUCGUCAAGUAGACACCAUCAGAUUCUUACUGCAUGAAGCCAUCGACGAGUCUUAUGAACGAGGCAUCGUCGAGUUCAGAAGAUGAAACAUCUGACGACGAGAGCGAAUCGGGAGUCUGGUGGUGAUAAGAAUGAGGACCAAAAGGAUGCAAGACGAGCAACUGACAAAAAGUGAGAACGAACCAGACCAGCAUCCAUGCCGCCCACACCGUGAUGUACAGAAGAGAAGGAAAUUCCUCAAACAGAUCAAUAUAGUUACACUGUGAGCAGUUUACAACGAAUCCUAAUAUGCAUAGAGUCCGUCACAUUCACUGUGAUCCAGAACUGGAAGCUGCGAUGUAGUCCUGAGGGGCACCGACGCAACGGAGUGCAUCACGAUGUGCGCUAUCCUCAGAUUUAUUUGCCCACGACACGACAAUGGCCGAACUGCGCUCCGCCUUUCACCCUUGUAAACUCUGACGUGUACGCGCGCUGGAUGAGUCUCGACGGCAUGAAGCGCGUCUUCUGGAUGACCGGAAACUACAAGUCCCACCCCGACGACGGCUACGACAAGACGGCCGUGCCCGUGGUGGAGAACAUCAGUUACCAGGACAUGGUGGCCACCGGCGUGUGGAAGGAGGCGGCGAGGAUGCUGGGCAUCCAGGGCACGCCCUUCAAGGGGGUCUGCAUGGCCAACGCCACCGCCGAGAUGACCAAGGAGAGGAAGGUGUCGUGGAACUACGCCGACGUCACCCCGACGCCAUGCGCGCCGCUGCAGGGCACCCACAGCGGAGCAUGCCCAUUCACCACCGACAUGCUCGUCAUCGACCAAAUUGUCGUGCCUCAAUGCUCCUACAGUCCUACUCCCUCGCACCUGCUACUUCUGUGGCUGGGAGCUUGGAACAGAGUAGCUCAACUAUGUUAUAUCCAGCCUCUUGCUGCACCAAGUGAUGAGGCUAUUGGAUCUCUAUGAUUGAGAGUAGUAACAAUAAGGAGCGUGUAGUCGAGUGGCUGCCUUGGUAACUUUAGAAGUAAAAAAGGUUGUUGUGAGUAAGUUACUUACCGUUUCAAUGCAUACGCAGUUGUAAAUUCAUAAAUGUCACUUUGUUGUAAUCAUCAGUGGUUAUUCUAGACCUUGCAGGGCAGACUGUCAAAGUGCUGUUUUGUUGCCAUAUUAUCGGAUAGAAAAAAAAAGUGAAGCACAAUUUAUAUUGAAGAGUCAAAAGAGAAGCAAAUGGACCUCUUAUGUGCAGCACAAAAACUUUGUCAAAAGGAAUAAUACUCACAAAUUGUAUUCAAGAGUCAAAAGAGUAAGCAAUUAAAUCUUUUAUGUGCAGCAAAAAUAUAUAUUCAUAAAUUAUAUUGGAGAGUCACAGUCUAUACUCAAGAGUAAAAAAUGUAAGCAAAUAAACCUCUUGUGUUCAGAAAUAAAAGGAAUACUCUCAAUUUAUAUUCAAGAGUCACGAUUUAUACUGAAGAGUCAAAAUUGUAAGCAAUUAAAACUUUACUAAUGUGUAUUAUACUCAAGUCAAAAGAGUAAGGAAAUAAACCUCUUACGUUUUUUAGGAGAAAAUAAACCUCUUAUGUGCAGCACAAAAAAUGAAAUACGCUCAAUUUAUAUUGAAGAGUCAAAAAAGUAAGCAAAAAUACUUUUAUACGCAGCACCGAGAAAAAAAAAGUGAUGGUUCACUGGAGUAGGCUGCGAGGCCCAAGCGGCCAAGGAGUGCAGCGGCCCGUUAUCCUUCCACCGUUGGAAGCGGGCAGUUGUCGCUGCUCUGUGAAGCCAGCCUCACGCUGUGCCUGCCACAUUAUGGACCGUGAGGCCCAGCUUUCGCAUAGGCCCCAGCGGUCCACUACGCAACUUGGAACGGGCGGGCCUGCAGUAGCACACCCGGACCAGGCCCGCAGCGCUACAACAGCGUCCACAUCACCUUAAUGCCCCCACUCGGGUUACAAGCUCUCGUAACUGAGCUCGGCGAGUGAAGAGAGUGGAGACGGGUAUUUAAGCUGGUCGAACCCCUCCUCGGUUGGCGAGGUGGGACUAAAGAAAGAGGAGUGCCGUGCUUCCUGCUGGGAGUGGGAGAUGUUUUCAGCGUGGGCUUUGGCAGCUUUGGCAUUUGUCGUUUUGGGCUCAUGGACGUGGCCAUGUGGGCAAGGCUUUGGCAGCCAUUCGUGGAUUUUAGUGCUAAUUAGCAUAGUGAACCUGAUUAGCAGACAUGGAAACAAGUAUAAAUUGCUGCAUGAUUAAAGCUGGGACUAAGAAAUAUUUUACUUGUAUAAGAAUCCCAAACGCAUAUCAGUUGGAAAAACUGUAUACAGUCUCUAUAUCUUGAGUUAUAAGAUUAUUAAGGGCAUUCCCAAUGCGACGAGAGAGACUAGUUCUGUAUCUUGUCGAUGAUACAAGUCUUCGACUGAAGCAUCGUCAAGUACACCAUCGGAUGCAGGUGGCUCAACAAGCAGUUCUCUUUUCGAGGGGACGUUUAUCAGAAGCAAUUUUUGGCAUCAGCAUGAAGUCAUCGAGGAGUCUCAUGAACGAUGCAUCGUCGAGUUCAGACGAUGAAACAUCUAACGACGAGAGCGAAUCGGGUGAUAAACAACCUGGUAUGGUAGUGAUCAAAAUGAGGACCAGAGGAUGCAAGACAAGAAGAUCAAAGCACGAAACCAUAGCAUAUCAUCAUCUAUGAAGUCCACACGAUGAUGUGCAGACACAGGAGCAACUUUCUCAAACUGGUAAGGACAGGUACACAGGGGGAACGGUUUACAACAAAUCCUAAGAUGUAUAGAGUCACUGACAUUUACUUAAGCAAAUAAACCUCUUGUAUGCAGCACACAAAAAUUACUCACAAUUUAUAUUCAAGAGUCAAAAGAGUAAGCUAAUAAACCUCCUAUGUGCAGCAAAAAAAAUAUAAUCCAUUAUUUAUAUUCAAGAGUCACAAUUUAUACUCAAGAGUCAUAAGUGUAAACAAAUAAACUUUCUAUGUUUAGCAUAAAAACUCACAAUUUAUAUUCAAUGGUCACAAUUUAUACUCAAGUCAAAAGAGUAAGCAAAUAAAUGUCUUACGUGCAACACAAAAAAUGAGGAAAAUCUCAUACGCAGCACAACAAUUUAUACUCAAGUCAAAAGAGUAAGAAAAUAAACGUCUUACGUGCAACACAAAAAAUGAAAAUACUCUCAUAUGCAGCAAAAAAAAUGAUGGUCCGUUGGAGUAGGCUGCGAGGCCCAAGUGGCCUAGGAGUGCAGCGGCCCGUUAUCCUUCCACCCAAUUUAUACUCAAGUCAAAAUAGUAAGAACAUAAACAUCCUACGUGCAACACAAAAAAAUAAAAAUACUCUCAUAUGCAGCACAAAAGAAAAGUGAUGGUCCGUUGGAGUAGGCUGCGAGGCCCAAUUGGCCUAGGAGUGCAGCGGCCCAUUAUCCUUCCACCGUUGGAAGCGGGCAGUUGUCGCUGCUCUGUGAAGCCAGCCUCACGCUGUGCCUGCCACAUUAUGGACCGUGAGACCCAGCUUUCGCAUAGGCCCCAGGCGGUCCACUACGCAACUUGGAACGGGCGGGCCAGCAGUAGCACACCCAGACCAGGCCCGCAGCGCUACAACAGCGUCCACAUCACUUUAAUGCCCCUACUCGGGUUACAAGCUCUCGUAACUGAGCUCGGC
rnacentral:lncRNA from 1 species